rnacentral:rRNA from 1 species
GACGAACGCUGGCGGCGUGCUUAACACAUGCAAGUCGAACGAAGUGGCGAACGGGGGAGUAAUACGUGGGUAACCUGACCUCCUUGUUUGGAUAAGCGUUGGAGACGGGGUCUAAUACCAAAUAAAGGGGGAUGGGCUCGCGGCCUAUCGGUUUGUUGGUGUGGUGAUGGCCUACCAAGGCGGUGACGGGGAGCCGGCCUGAGAGGGUGACCGGCCACAUUGGGACUGCGAUACGGCCCAGACUCCGACGCGAGGCAGCAUUGGGGGAUAUUGCGCAAUGGGCGAAAGCCCGAUGCAGCGACGCCGCGUGGGGGAUGAAGGCUUUCGGGUUGUGAAGCUCUUUCGGUAUCGAAGGGGUAGGUGGAGAAGAAGCGCCGGCUAACUACGUGCCAGCAGCCGCGGUAAUUC